GACAACACUAGAGCGUGGGCUGGCCUCGACUUGCAGUUCACCGUCGAGGAGCGUGCAUUUUUCUUUGCGUCCACCACCAUGCAAAUUGGGAAUAGCAUGGAGGCCCUCUUUUGGGAAGACCGAUGGAUCGACGGGCGAUCCGUUCGCGAGACCGCGCCGCUCCUAUAUGCAUGCAUUCCCAAGCGCCGCCACAAACUCAGGACCGUCGCCGAUGGGCGCGGGACAUACACGACACGGUUGGCAUCCAUGAGAUCGGGCAAUACUUGUAGCUCUGGCACACAAUCAGCCGCACGACGCUCUCUGCCGAGCCGGACCGCCACUCCUAGAAGUGGAGUCCUCGUGGCGUCUACUCCGCCAAAUCGGUCUACAUCGCCACUUUCGGUGGCUCCACGGGCUGCGCUGCAUGGAAGCUCACCUGAAAGAACUGGGCGCCUCCGCGCGUCCGAUUCUUCCAUUGGCUCGUCCGCCUCGACCGGUGUUGGACGGCAGACCGCCUCGCCCGCCGCGGCCUGCAGCACCCCGCGCGAUGCCUCCUCUGCGACCAGGCCUCGAGACCAUGCACCACCUCAUCCUCGCCUGGCCCUUCGCCCGACAGCUCUCCUGCUCUCGGCUCCACUGGCUCUGGCUCUCCUGCGUCUCGCCCGACUGGUGGCAAACGGCGCAGCAGUUCACUCCAAAACCUAUGCGCAAGGGCAUCGCCUCCGCGACCCUCCUCGUCCCAUGGAUGAUUUGGAUACACCGUAA
rnacentral:rRNA from 1 species